rnacentral:tRNA from 1 species
GGAGGGAUGGCCGAGUGGUUGAAGGCGACGGUCUUGAAAACCGUUGAGCGUGACGAGCGUUCCGUGGGUUCGAAUCCCACUCCCUCCU